UUCAUAUAAAUGGAAUCAUAAGUAUGCAAUCAUGUGAUUGUCUUCUUUAACUUAUGUUUCAAGGUUCAUCCAUGUUGUAGGGUGUGUGGAUGUGUAAGUACUUCAUUUCCUUUUAUGGCAGAAUAAUAUUUCAUUGUAUGAAUAGUCCACUUUUUUAUCAAUUCAUUAGCUGAUGGACAUUUGGAUUAUUUCUACUUAUGAGUUAAUUUUUAAUUGUUAAUUAAAAAUUGACUUCUGUUAAAGGAAAA